GGGCGGAUGCCGGAGCGGUCAAACGGGGUACGUUAAGGGCGUAUUGGCUUUUGCCUACGAGGGUUCGAAUCCUUCUCCGCCCA
rnacentral:tRNA from 1 species